rnacentral:rRNA from 1 species
CCUACGGGAGGCAGCAGUAAGGAAUAUUGGUCAAUGGGCGGAAGCCUGAACCAGCCAUGCCGCGUGCAGGAAGACGGCCUACGGGUUGUAAACUGCUUUUGCAGGGGAAUAUGUACUCUGAGAAUAAGGAUCGGCUAACUCCGUGCCAGCAGCCGCGGUAAUACGGAGGAUCCGAGCGUUAUCCGGAUUUAUUGGGUUUAAAGGGUGCGUAGGCGGCCUUGUAAGUCAGGGGUGAAAGACGGUAGCUUAACUAUCGCAGUGCCUUUGAUACUGCAGGGCUUGAAUGUACUUGAGGUAGGCGGAAUGUGACAAGUAGCGGUGAAAUGCAUAGAUAUGUCACAGAACACCAAUUGCGAAGGCAGCUUACUAAGUUGAUUGACGCUGAGGCACGAAAGCGUGGGGAUCAAACAGGAUUAGAUACCCUUGUAGUC